AAUAUUGGACAAGGGGCGUAAGCCUGAUCUAGCCAUGCCGCUAGUGUGAAUAAUGUCUUCGGAAUGUAAAUCACUUUAAGUAGGGAGGAAUGUCCAUAGGUUCAUACGCUGACGAUUUGACGAUACCAACAGAAUAAGCAUCGGCUAACCCGGAGACAUCAGCCGCGGUAAUACAGAGGUUGCAAGCGUUAACCGGAAUUACUGGGCGUAAAGCGCGCGUAGGUGGUUCAGUAAGAUGGGUGUGAAAUCCCCGGGCUUAACCUGGGAACUGCUUUCAUAACUGCUGGGCUAGAGUACGGUAGAGGGUAGUGGAAUUUCCUGUGUAGCGGUGAAAUGCGUAGAUAUAGGAAGGAACACCAGUGGCGAAGGCGACUACCUGGACUGAUACCGACACUGAGGUGCGAAAGCGUGGGGGGCAAAC
rnacentral:rRNA from 1 species